AUUGUUUCCAUCACUGCCAUCUUUGAUGAAGAGUGCGCAGAACAGAAAACAGCCGCCUGCCUGUGGAGCAAACAGUUACGUAAUAAAUGGCAGGUUACCCAGCUCCACUUGUUCACCCUCUUUACCGUCUUGGCGUUGCCUAAUACAAGUGCCAGCACAAGCAUGGAACGCUACUGCCAGCGCUUGGUUCCCAGAUCUAUAACGUCUGUUUUUACCCCAUGUGCUUUUCCAUGCGUGUUGGUGGACCACAACGUGCGCCCAAUGAUUGUUUGGCAGAGGGAAGUGGAUGGAACGCUAUGUAAAGUUGCAGGAACUUUCUCGUUGGAACCGCAGAUUUCAAGUUGUUGGGAGGGCAUCUGCCAGCAGCCGAAUUCCCUGGUGCCCUUGAAACGUGGAAGAAGGGGUGUGGCUUCUCGUAACGCUGCUAGGAAUGCACGAAAGAAAGGAUUUGGUGGCUUUCGAAAAAAGAAGCAUAAAAAAGGAAAGAAGCACCUAAGACUCUAAGAGAACUUCUUACUCUGACGACCACUUUCAAGGCCGUCUGCUGCGGAAGAGCGGUGGUGGUGGAAGCAUGAGUGCAACUGUGUUUCUUCUGUCUGAUGUCAGUAAAUGAUGGCGCUACUGAAGUUUUUGGCCAAUAAUGAUCGCUACCAAAGGUUUAGAAGAGAUAUUUAAUCCGCGAAGUCAGCGAGUCUUUAAUGUGUUAGCAUUCUUUGAGUACUUCUGGCACUAUUCGGGGACUAUCUAUGUAUCCAUCUGUAUUUGUUUGUAUGUUUGUGUCUAUCUAUGCUUUUAUCUAACCGUUUUCCCGCCUGCGUGGGUCACAGGGUAGUCAGGGGACGAAUGUGUAGCACAUCGCGCUGCUGUGCUGAGGCAACAGGUUUCGAAACGAACCAUCGGACCAACUUUGGUCACUGAGUACGUGGCAAUGUGAACACAUGUGCCGCUCUUCAACAAACCUCCUUCACUUCGACAUGGGUCAUUGUAGACGCGGGACUGAGUAGGUACAGCUGUUCGAGCAAACUCCUGGACGCCGACUUGGAAUACUGGGUAUGUGCCACUUGGUCU